rnacentral:tRNA from 1 species
UGUCCAAGGAUGGGAAUCGAACCCACAGUGUUCCGCUUACCGGGCAGAUGCCAUGUCCACUAGGCUAUAUUUAC